rnacentral:lncRNA from 1 species
CCUCUUGCAAUGCUCACCCUCCAAGCAUCUCACACCAGAAGCUUAUUGAGUAGCUUUCUUCUUCCCUCUACUUCGGCUGGAUCACUCCAUGAUCAGCUUGCAAUGGGCUUGCACUGGUCUUGGUUUAAAUUGCCUCUACUUCGGCUGGAUCACUCCAUGAUGGUCUUGGUUUAAAUUGCCUCACCCUCCUGGUGAUGCUCUUCUUUGUAUGUCGACUGUCCUCUCUACACUCAUCUGAUGUGUAGGCUAUGGUGACUAAACCACCAUGGACAGAACAACAAGUCAUCUCUCCAUUGUCACAACAUCCUCUCUACCC